GCGGGUUUUUAGAGAUUGCAAUAUAAAACUAAAUAUUUGUGAAGUUACACCUUAAUUUCACCUCGGUAUGAAUCGAACGGGUGUGGAUUCAUACAAACGUUAAAUAUAACAAUGCAAAAAGGAUCCGAAAGCAGAAUGUAAAAAUUCCAACUUUUAAUUUUUAACAUUUUAAACACUUGCUACGCCACUGGACUACCAACGCACUUGCUACGCCACUGGAUUACCAACGCACUUGCUACGCCACUGGAUUACCAACGCAUUUGCUACGCCACUGGAUUAACAACGCACUUGCUACGCCCUGGACUACCAACUUACCGCAAACAAGAAGUCUUUCGCACUGUAGACAGCUUCAUAGAACUGAAAUAUUGUAUAAAUUAUAAACAAAUCAAUCAAUAUCAGAAUGUAGAUGGUUUUGUAGUGCCAAAUAUUUGAGCGACACGAAUGUAAUUAAUGAGCAGGUUAUUCAAAUUAUUUUUAUGUUUUACAUUGCGUUGAACACGAUUGUAAUUAGUUUCAAUUUCAAAUAUGACGGGAUUAUAAAUGAGAUGUUACGCGCUAUAUGUAUUGAUUUGUAGUGUUACAAGUUGCGUAGUUGCUUUUAAAGGCACAGACUGAUUGUAAAAACUGUUUACGGCCCACCAGCACAUAAUAUACAUGGGUAAAUGUGAUUGAUUCUUUGAUGUAGGGUUGUUAAGUUUGGUACACACAACAAAACAAACAUAUAAACAAAUUAUGCCUUUUUGUGUGCUGAUGCAUGCAUGAAUAUUCAAUUAUUUAUGAUAACAAUACUAGAAAUAUUAGUUUAUGUAUUUUUAAGAAUGUUUUAAUGCUUCUGGGAUUAUCUUGUAUAUAAAUUUGAAUGUAUUAACUUGUAAUGUAGGUGCUAAUGAUAUAAUACAGAAAUAUUAUAAGACA